GCCUAUACAUGCAGUCGAGCGGACAGAUGGGAGCUUGCUCCCUGAUGUUAGCGGCGGACGGGUGAGUAACACGUGGGUAACCUGCCUGUAAGACUGGGAUAACUCCGGGAAACCGGGGCUAAUACCGGAUGGUUGUCUGAACCGCAUGGUUCAGACAUAAAAGGUGGCUUCGGCUACCACUUACAGAUGGACCCGCGGCGCAUUAGCUAGUUGGUGAGGUAACGGCUCACCAAGGCGACGAUGCGUAGCCGACCUGAGAGGGUGAUCGGCCACACUGGGACUGAGACACGGCCCAGACUCCUACGGGAGGCAGCAGUAGGGAAUCUUCCGCAAUGGACGAAAGUCUGACGGAGCAACGCCGCGUGAGUGAUGAAGGUUUUCGGAUCGUAAAGCUCUGUUGUUAGGGAAGAACAAGUGCCGUUCAAAUAGGGCGGCACCUUGACGGUACCUAACCAGAAAGCCACGGCUAACUACGUGCCAGCAGCCGCGGUAAUACGUAGGUGGCAAGCGUUGUCCGGAAUUAUUGGGCGUAAAGGGCUCGCAGGCGGUUUCUUAAGUCUGAUGUGAAAGCCCCCGGCUCAACCGGGGAGGGUCAUUGGAAACUGGGGAACUUGAGUGCAGAAGAGGAGAGUGGAAUUCCACGUGUAGCGGUGAAAUGCGUAGAGAUGUGGAGGAACACCAGUGGCGAAGGCGACUCUCUGGUCUGUAACUGACGCUGAGGAGCGAAAGCGUGGGGAGCGAACAGGAUUAGAUACCCUGGUAGUCCACGCCGUAAACGAUGAGUGCUAAGUGUUAGGGGGUUUCCGCCCCUUAGUGCUGCAGCUAACGCAUUAAGCACUCCGCCUGGGGAGUACGGUCGCAAGACUGAAACUCAAAGGAAUUGACGGGGGCCCGCACAAGCGGUGGAGCAUGUGGUUUAAUUCGAAGCAACGCGAAGAACCUUACCAGGUCUUGACAUCCUCUGACAAUCCUAGAGAUAGGACGUCCCCUUCGGGGGCAGAGUGACAGGUGGUGCAUGGGUUGUCGUCAGCUCGUGUCGUGAGAUGUUGGGUUAAGUCCCGCACGAGC
rnacentral:rRNA from 1 species